rnacentral:rRNA from 1 species
CACCACAACGGUGGAGCCUGCGGUUAAUUGGACUCAACGCCGGGCAGCUCACCGGAUAAGACAGCUGGAUGAUAGCCGGGCUGAAGACUCUGCUUGACUAGCUGAGAGGAGGUGCAUGGCCGUCGUCAGUUCGUACUGUGAAGCAUCCUGUUAAGUCAGGCAACGAGCGAGACCCACGCCAACAGUUGCCAGCUCGUCCUCCGGGAUGGUGGGGACACUGUUGGGACCGCCUCUGCUAAAGAGGAGGAAGGAAUGGGCAACGGUAGGUCAGCAUGCCCCGAAUUAUCUGGGCUACACGCGGGCUACAAUGGGUGGGACAAUGGGUAUCGACACCGAAAGGUGAAGGCAAUCUCCUAAACCCAUCCGUAGUUCGGAUUGUGGGCUGCAACUCGCCCACAUGAAGCUGGAAUCUGUAGUAAUCGUGUCUCAAAAUGGCACGGUGAAUAUGUCCCUGCUCCUU